rnacentral:rRNA from 1 species
CGUGGCGGACGGGUGAGUAACGCGUAAAGAACUUGCCCUUUAGACUGGGAUAACAGAGGGAAACUUCUGAUAAUACUGGAUAAGUUAGUAUAUCGCAUGAUAUGCAAAUGAAAGCUACGGCACUAAAGGAGAGCUUUGCGUCCUAUUAGCUAGUUGGUAAGGUAAGAGCUUACCAAGGCGAUGAUAGGUAGCCGGCCUGAGAGGGUGGACGGCCACAAGGGGACUGAGAUACGGCCCUUACUCCUACGGGAGGCAGCAGCG